GACGAACGCUGGCGGCGUGCUUAACACAUGCAAGUCGAACGGAAAGGCCCUGCUUUUGUGGGGUGCUCGAGUGGCGAACGGGUGAGUAACACGUGAGUAACCUGCCCUUGACUUUGGGAUAACUUCAGGAAACUGGGGCUAAUACCGGAUAGGAGCUCCUGCUGCAUGUUGGGGGUUGGAAAGUUUCGGCGGUUGGGGAUGGACUCGCCGCUUAUCAGCUUGUUGGUGGGGUAGUUGCUUACCAAGGCUUUGACGGGUAGCCGGCCUGAGAGGGUUACCGGCCACAAUGGGACUGAGAGACGGCGCAGUCGCCAACGGGACGCAGUGGGGGGGAAUAUUGCGCAGUGGGCGGGAGCCUGAGGCAGAAGCGCCGCGUGCGGGAUGACGUCUUUCGGGUGGUAAACCGCUGUCGCCUGUAACGAAGCGUGAGUGACGGUAAUGGGUAAAGAAGCACCGGCUAACUACGUG
rnacentral:rRNA from 1 species